rnacentral:rRNA from 1 species
UCAGGCCUAACACAUGCAAGUCGAACGAGAUUAUAGGGUAAGCUUGCUUACCUUACAUGACAGUGGCGCACGGGUGCGUAACGCGUAUGCAAUCUACCUUAAUCAGGGGGAUAGCCUUUCGAAAGAGAGAUUAAUACCGCAUAACAUUAUGAUAUGGCAUCAUAUUAUAAUCAAACAUUUAUGGGAUUAAGAUGAGCAUGCGUGACAUUAGCUAGUUGGUGAGGUAACGGCUCACCAAGGCAACGAUGUCUAGGGGAUCUGAGAGGAUGACCCCCCACACUGGUACUGAGACACGGACCGGACUCCUACGGGAGGCAGCAGUAAGGAAUAUUGGUCAAUGGACGCGAGUCUGAACCAGCCAUGCCGCGUGCAGGAAGACGGCCCCAUGGGUUGUAAACUGCUUUUAUACGGGAAUAAACCUUCUUUCGUGAAAGAAGCUGAA